AAAUUGAAGAGUUUGAUCAUGGCUCAGAUUGAACGCUGGCGGCAGGCCUAACACAUGCAAGUCGAGCGGUAGCACAGAGAGCUUGCUCUCGGGUGACGAGCGGCGGACGGGUGAGUAAUGUCUGGGAAACUGCCUGAUGGAGGGGGAUAACUACUGGAAACGGUAGCUAAUACCGCAUAAUGUCGCAAGACCAAAGUGGGGGACCUUCGGGCCUCAUGCCAUCAGAUGUGCCCAGAUGGGAUUAGCUAGUAGGUGGGGUAACGGCUCACCUAGGCGACGAUCCCUAGCUGGUCUGAGAGGAUGACCAGCCACACUGGAACUGAGACACGGUCCAGACUCCUACGGGAGGCAGCAGUGGGGAAUAUUGCACAAUGGGCGCAAGCCUGAUGCAGCCAUGCCGCGUGUGUGAAGAAGGCCUUCGGGUUGUAAAGCACUUUCAGCGGGGAGGAAGGCGAUAAGGUUAAUAACCUUGUCGAUUGACGUUACCCGCAGAAGAAGCACCGGCUAACUCCGUGCCAGCAGCCGCGGUAAUACGGAGGGUGCAAGCGUUAAUCGGAAUUACUGGGCGUAAAGCGCACGCAGGCGGUCUGUCAAGUCGGAUGUGAAAUCCCCGGGCUUAACCUGGGAACUGCAUUCGAAACUGGCAGGCUAGAGUCUUGUAGAGGGGGGUAGAAUUCCAGGUGUAGCGGUGAAAUGCGUAGAGAUCUGGAGGAAUACCGGUGGCGAAGGCGGCCCCCUGGACAAAGACUGACGCUCAGGUGCGAAAGCGUGGGGAGCAAACAGGAUUAGAUACCCUGGUAGUCCACGCCGUAAACGAUGUCGAUUUGGAGGUUGUGCCCUUGAGGCGUGGCUUCCGGAGCUAACGCGUUAAAUCGACCGCCUGGGGAGUACGGCCGCAAGGUUAAAACUCAAAUGAAUUGACGGGGGCCCGCACAAGCGGUGGAGCAUGUGGUUUAAUUCGAUGCAACGCGAAGAACCUUACCUGGUCUUGACAUCCACAGAACUUUCCAGAGAUGGAUUGGUGCCUUCGGGAACUGUGAGACAGGUGCUGCAUGGCUGUCGUCAGCUCGUGUUGUGAAAUGUUGGGUUAAGUCCCGCAACGAGCGCAACCCUUAUCCUUUGUUGCCAGCGGUCCGGCCGGGAACUCAAAGGAGACUGCCAGUGAUAAACUGGAGGAAGGUGGGGAUGACGUCAAGUCAUCAUGGCCCUUACGACCAGGGCUACACACGUGCUACAAUGGCAUAUACAAAGAGAAGCGACCUCGCGAGAGCAAGCGGACCUCAUAAAGUAUGUCGUAGUCCGGAUUGGAGUCUGCAACUCGACUCCAUGAAGUCGGAAUCGCUAGUAAUCGUAGAUCAGAAUGCUACGGUGAAUACGUUCCCGGGCCUUGUACACACCGCCCGUCACACCAUGGGAGUGGGUUGCAAAAAGAAGUAGGUAGCUUAACCUUCGGGAGGGCGCUUACCACUUUGUGAUUCAUGACUGGGGUGAAGUCGUAACAAGGUAACCGUAGGGGAACCUGCGGUUGGAUCACCUCCUUACCUUAAAGAA
rnacentral:rRNA from 1 species